rnacentral:lncRNA from 1 species
CUGACAUCAGAGGAUUCUGUUUUUCUUGGGCCUGGGCUGUCUCCAUGUCAAUUGUAGUCACCCAUCAACCCUUGAAGUGACUCUUCAGUAAUUAGAUCUUUGAUUUCCUGUGGGACCUGAAGAAGAGUCUGUUGUGACCUAUGGCUACACUGGCUAGGAGACUGGUGGGAGGUGUAAUCCAAAAAAGUAACUUUGCCAAGCUCUGCUCGGUCUUUUAUUGCUAUACAUCAGAGAGGAUGUCAUGGCAGGUUACUGCAGUACUCAUAUUCUGGCCACCAGAGGAAGGACAAAGACAGACCUAGAUUCUUUCUUACUACUACCACCAUCAGAGUAACAGCCAGGUACCAAACAGUCUCUAGCUUUCUGUAGCUUUGGAGAGAAGGAGAUCAGAAGCAGCACAGGGGCCAGCAGUGUAACAGGACGUUCAUAUGUGGCAAAGAGCUUUCUGGUGCGAUCUGCAAGCUAAUGACUGGUGUCUCAGCUUGCAGGAAGAACAGAGCCAUUCCUGGCUGGACAAGUGUCCCCAUUCUUCCAGACUGGCAGAGGCAGAGGGAAAGAGGAUGGAGAACGAGAACCGAUUGUUGCUUUCUCAGAGCGUUACCAGCCACGCUAGCUUUGUUUUAUUGUCUUCUUGCGGCGUCGUUCAUAAUUGUUUUACAUCUAAAGGUUAAAUGGAGUGAAGAUUUGGACUGAUUUCCCAGCAGCCAGAAGCUU